CAACUCAGCAAUCAAUCACCUCUCCCAGAAAAUGGAUCUGACGGUGUUGAUUUGUUAACAUCAUAUAUGAGUGAUGCUGAAAUCAUGGGAUCUAAACCAGACGACAAAUUUCUAAGAGAUACCAUUAUAAAUUUGCUGCUUGCAGGGAGAGACACCACAAGUUCUGCUCUCACAUGGUUCUUAUGGCUGGUUUCCAAGAAUCCUCAAGUAGAAAGCAAGAUCAGAGAGGAGCUCAAAGAAAUUAUACCGACAGACGAAGCAGAAAAUUGGCGAAUAUUCAAUCCACAGGAGCUAAACAGGCUAGUUUAUCUUCAUGGUGCACUCUGUGAAUCAUUAAGGCUCUACCCACCAGUUCCAUUCCAGCACAAGGCCCCUCUCCAGGAAGAUG
rnacentral:misc_RNA from 1 species